rnacentral:tRNA from 1 species
GGAGGAGUGGCAGAGAGAAAAUGUGUUUGACUUGAAAUCAAUGGACGGAGGUUAAAUCCCCCCCUCCUCUU